rnacentral:misc_RNA from 1 species
GAGUGAAUCAUGAAUUUCAGCCAUCAAUAUUAAGAUUUUCCUCGCACUAUGUUCUUCAAGCAAAGAAAAAGAAAAAUGAAAGAUAAUAGGAAAACUAAAGCUAUUUCAGUCUUCCUGUGAUGAGGUGCUCUGGGGAUUUGAAUUCAUUUUCUACCACGUACCCCACCUCACCCUGAAAGUUGAAGAUGUAGUUUCAGGAAAGAAGAUGCAAAUCCACAGUUUAUGAUAUCAAUUUGAAGAAAUAACUAUCAUCUAUUACACAAAGUAUUGUUCAGAAAAUUUAAUUCCAAAAUGUGGCUACUAUAAAUGCAGACAAAAUCUCUCUAGAACCGAGUCAAUAUAUCAUUCCAGUUCUUUUGCAGCAAUGCAUACAGCAUAGCAAGAUCAACUCCAGAAGAUGAAGCCACAAUAUGGCUUUACUUUGCAACAGCUAUGAUAUAUGCAUUCCAAGAAUCUUCUUGUUCGAAAUUUCUGACCUCCUCAUACUUUAUGUCUCGACCAACACCAAAUCCCUCUGUAGUUCUGUUUUCUUCACUGUCUGGCAUCUGCCGAAGCCAAAAAUGGACAGAAUGAAAUCCUGCUUCUUCCAAGCAGUCCUUGAUCUCUGGCAGUGACCACAGCCUCCAGCUGUAUGAAAAUGCAUGACGAAGUUUUUUCUGCUGCUUCUGAAGAUGAAAGUGGAGGCUAAUCCUUGUUUUGCGCUCAAUUAUGUCAAAUUCAGCUUGCUCCCAAAUAUACGUGAAAUUUGGAAAUCUUCUCUGGAGCCUUAGCUUGCACUCUGACGAUGUUCCACCAUAUAAAUCCAUCACAAAUAUACCCCCCUUUUUGGACAAAGCAUCAAGAACAUGUUUGAAAUACAAAAGCAGAUCUGCUCGUUUAUGAAGACAACAGCAGCUGUAGUUAAAAGCACACACAAUGUCUCUUGCUGGCAAUGGGAAGUUUCUCUUCAAGUACUUAUCACCAGUAGAAUCAUAUGAGCCUGCUUGGACAGUAGAUUCCAGCACAUUACACUCUGAAUUGUCUUUGUGCUCUCUUAAUUUAAUGUUACUUAUCAGUUCUUGGGGCUCAAACCUGACUAGUUUAGCCUCAAAAGGUUGCAAAACAUUUCCAUGAAAGAGGGACAUUCUAGAAUAUCCAUCAGCCCCAAUUUUACUUACGUUGUUCUCCAUGCACCAAUUUAGUGCCUCAAGGUCCAAAUCCACUCCCACAGCAGUCCGUCUUGAGUCACUACGGAGCCAUUCUGUGCUGUCAAAAACAUAGAGGCCUCACAUAUUAGAAGGUUCACAACUGAAGAUCAGGUUGAUGACUCUUGCCUUUAUGUAAUCCAGUCAGGGCUUUUAAAGACAGCUCUUAAACAGUUCUUAAACUAAAGGAGCAGGGCUCAUCAACCCUACUGUUAGUAGCACUUAUAUAUUUUGGAAGGUUAAUGAAAUAGCAGCUUUAACGAAAGGGCUCUUAAAAGACAACUCUUAACAAUUCUCAAACUAAAGCAGCAGGGCUCAGCCACCAUACUGUGCUUAGCACUUACAUUUUUUGGAACGUUAAUGAAAUAACAGCUUUAAUGAAUAUAUAAAUAGCAUCAUACACUCUUAGCAAUUUCAGCCAGGAAGCAAAGUGGCCAUGAAGUAAUAAAUCACCCAGGCAGCAAUCAUGCCACCAGCCAGAAAACGAUAGUCUCCUCAAAACUAUCACAAGCUAAGAUUAUAACCGCCAUAAACGUGUCAAAAAAGUUCAUGAAAUAGUCAGAGUAUUAACGGUUCAAUUUUUAAUUCAGAAACUAUCAUAAGCAACACCAAAUCUCAAGAUGGGAACUCAGUCCAAGUAUUUCACCUGAGAAGAGCAGUCCCACAGAAAUCUUCCUGGAGAUGGAGAGGCAACCUCCCACCAACAUACAUUAAAAAGAACUUCUGCAAAUAGCUGAUGUCUCCUUUGGGUGACUGCAAUUCAUUGAACAUUGACGAAAUCCUUUACAAUUAUAAAACUACAAAAUUUGGACAAGCAUAUAAUAAACCCACUAAUUUUUCAACAAAUUACAAUAUAUUUCAACAGAGUUCAGUUUAUUACAGAUGCAAAGAACAAUCUAGUUUCAGUGUACAACAGAAACUAUAACAGGCUGCAAUUAAAAAACACAUGAAAAAAAUGACUUCCAACAACGUGUUAAUCUUCUCAUAUAAAACCAAGCCUCUCCAAAAUAUGUGCAACAGGCUGAAACAAAAGAAAUCUCCUCACCAGCAAAGUUUUCUUGGGGUUUGAACAUUCAAGGGCCAAGACAUGCCACAUCAGAAGAAAAGUAUCCAGGUUUCAGUAAGUGAUUAAGAUUUCCCAUCUAGAAGAUUUGCGACAGAUAGCUUUCUUAGCUUCCUGUCAUGGUUAAGCAUGGCACUAACACUCUCAACCAGCAAAAUAAUCUGCAAGCAAGCAUAAGCAAUUGCAGUUGCAAAGUAGAAGUUUGCAUUGCCAGUGCCCCUCCAAAUCCAUAGGUUGUGCAUCACAGGGCUAAGGAGGGAAAUCCCUACAUAUCCGCAAAAUAUGAAAAAAGAGAACGGCAUAUCCGCUAAUUCAUCAAGAAACAAAACCAGUAAACCCAAGUAUAGAGCUGAAUCUCCAACCUAGUCAAAAUUGAACCAAAAGACAGAAUUAGGUUCCAAAAUAUAAAUUUGCAAAGAAUACACAGAAAGGUAGAAAUCCCAAGGAACAUUUGUCGUCAUGGUAAAUGAGGUGAUUAUCAGAAAACCAUUCCGCAUGAAUAAAAAAUUUUAGACACUGAGAUUUGCGCAUUCUGGAAGCUUGCAAUCAAGUUAGUAGCCCAAAGAAGGUAAUCUCCCAAUCACUCUUGCAAAUAUAAAAGAAAUUUCAUGAAAAUAUUCCCAUGUGAUGCAAGCCCAAACAAUUAUGUCAAUUAGAACUAUCAAAUUACACGCUUCAAGCGUUAGAACAGCAAAAACCAUGAAAUAUUUAUGAUAAUAGUAUGAAAUCAUACAAGUUUAAAAAAAUCCAAAGCAAACUUCCUGGAAAUGUAAUUUGUAAAAAGCCACCAAAAAUAUACAAGUGGGCCAUAUAGCUAUCAAGAUCCCCACUAAAAAACAACAAUAUAUUUAAUAUGUUGAUGUAUUAGAUAUAAAGUAAUUUUAUCAUAUACAGGUGUUUUAAAUACUUUUAAUCAACAUAUUCAGAUGGUGCUUUUAUCAGCAGUAACUACAUUAGAAAAGCCAAAUAGGCCCUAAAUUAACCUCAUAGUAUCCCCCACAAGGAAGGAGACAUGAUAUGCUAGAAUACAAUACCAAUAGGCACUCUGCCAAAUAUCAAGAUUCAACAGAUCCAAAACAUAAAAAUAUUUUAGGCAUGUAGUCAGGAAUCUAUAUUCUGCCAUCUCUAAAUGUCAUAUAGAAAUGUAAGUAAACAUAGUCAAAUACAACUACUCCAUAGUAAUGACAGAGACACCUUGCUCCCAAUAAAAGGUCGUAAUUUUGAAACAACAAAAGACUCAAUCUUGGCAAAAAUGGAAUAUCUAUGCAAACAACAAAAGAACUUACUGAUGGAUAUGAUUUAAGCAUUGAUGAGAUAGCA